UCCGGUGGCUCUAGCGAGGGGGAAGCACCCGUUUCCAUCCCGAACACGGAAGUUAAGCCCCUCAGCGCUGAUGGUACUGCGUGGGCAACUGCGUGGGAGAGUAAGUCGCCGCCGGAU
rnacentral:rRNA from 1 species